GAGUGGCUCAGGUUUCAGCUCGACAGGCAAGAGAUACACUCUUAAAUUGGGCUCUCACUCAGUGCUGCUGGCGAUGGCAAGUGGAGACUGAUGCACAGUUUUAAUUGGGGGGAGACAUUUCCUGAAGAGAUUUUGGGGAAUUAGGUGGCUUAUGGGCUACCUGGUCAGUGGGCCCACUGCACAGCAAAUUCCUGGGUGAGCUCUUCUUCUCCACCUCCCGCCUCUUUACAUAGAACAGAAGGGACAGAACAGAGAAAAGGGGCUCGAAAAGCCACCGUUUGAGCGAGCAACACUCUGGGAGCAAAUUUACCAGUAGCCAGCCUCCAAGUCUCCCGAGUAGGCUGUUUCUGGAGCUGCUGGAGGCAUGUGGUUCAAGCAGCAUUCGAGAAGCAGAGCAAGAGGGAGAAGCAGCUCUGAAAUGACCUGAUGUUCAAAGACAGGUGCAGAAUAUCUCACAUCCUGAUGUGGAAACUCUGAAAUAAGGAACCAGGGAAUGCUGGAGACGGCCAAGAUCUGUGAGAGAUGAUGAGCCCAACAGAUGCCAAACUGACCUGCACCUAAAAAGAAAAUCUGCUCUUCAUAUGGUCCAUGCGAUUGAUCCUACCUAUUGCCUUCAGUGGGAGUUUUACCACUGUCUUCAAGAGAUAUAGGAAUGGCCUCAUGGCCACCAGUACCCAGCUUGUUCUUCCCUUUAAAUUCCUUGUCUUUGUGUUCUUCUGCCAUAGAAAGGAGACUAAAAGAAUACAAGAGCCACUAAUUGCACUGCUACCCCUCUGUUAUUACUUUUAUCUGUGGACUAGGUAAUUAGCAAUUAGGCUUUUAAUUUUGUUUCCUAGGAGCACAAGAGCUGUAAUUAGGCAGCUCAGAAACGUAAGAGCUUUGGAGGUGCAUUUUGUGUCUGUUUUGUUUAAACCUUUGUUGGGAGGGUGGCAUAUAAAUUGCACAGAUAAAUAUAUACAUACAUGCACACACAAAUAAAUAAAUAAAUACAUUCCUGGUCCUACUUGCCCUUUGCAGGGAGCCUGAGGGCUACAAAUAUCCCACAUGAAAAUUAGACUGAGGAUCAGAUUUUGAACACCCUUAACCAAUUCUUUUUAAAUCCAGAAGUACUGGACUUGAUCUAGCACUCUGAAGCAGUCGGCACUCCUGGGGCCAUCAGUCACUUAAGGACCCGUGAAAGAAUUUCUAUGGUCAUUUAUAGUGGAUCAUGACUGCACUGGUUUUAAUCUCUUUAUUUCCAUUGUGCUGGUGCUGGUUAAUCUGGCAACACCAGGCCAUGCACUGAAACUGAUAGGUGGACAUGCCCACCAUAGUUUUGGAUCAGCAGGUAGCACGUAUAGGACAGGGCAUAUAUAAGCAGCUACUGUACAAGACAGGGGUGCUCAACCCCAACCCACAAGCCAUGUCAUGUAACUGGCCCCCAUGGGUCUGAUAAUGUGGUGCUGAGGGAGUGGUGGCAGUGUUAAUUGCUACUCCCCUGCUGCCAGAUUUCCAGACUCAUGGGGAGCCUAGCAAGGCAGAUAGUGUGGCCCUGAACACUAGAUAGGGCACAUGGGGCCUGGUCAGGGCAGCACAGGGCCUGAUCUGGGUGUAUGGGGCCCAACACUGUGAGGGAUCUGGCCUGUGGACCAGCCCUGCCCCAAUCAUCUGGCCCAUGGGACUAAAAGGUUGAGCACCACUGGUAUAAGAUAUGCAAUCUGUGGAAUCACACGGGGAAAACUGUUUUGCUCUUACUUGCUAGGCGAAAGAAAAACCUUUUUGACUCGUAUAUUGACCCUGCUGCCUGGAAAUAUCUUGGCCUCUGAUAAUAACCAAGGCACCCAACAGCAAGGUGAAUCUCUGGGUGUAAUAGGAUUCUAUGAACAAUCAAGUCAAUUCUCAUGUCAGGCUGGUAACAGAUGUGCCCAACCAACUGGGGGAAUAAGCUUCAUGCUAAAUUGUCAGGCAACUGUUAUGGAUGACUCAUGAAGCAAGGAGAAUGGGGUUGAGGGCAGCUGUGUCCAGGCCAUGUCCAGGGCCAGGAGCAAUCAACACCAUGGUGAAGAAAGGCCAUGGGCCAUGUGAUCUCAAGAAAAGUGGUGCCUCUGCAAAAAGAGACUUUCCUCUUUAAUUAGCUGGGAAAACAACAAAAGAAUAAGAGAAAGCAAUCUGUAGCUGAUACAACACUGCCAGGAACUAUCUUGGUGAUUUAUAGGAAGGGAAUAGUGCAAUACAAAAAGCUGCCAGCCAACAGACAGGCAUGUUUUUUGCUGACUGGAGAAAACAAAUA